rnacentral:misc_RNA from 1 species
GAUGAAGAACGUAGCGAAAUGCGAUAAGUAAUGUGAAUUGCAGAAUUCAGUGAAUCAUCGAAUCUUUGAACGCACAUUGCGCCCGCCAGUAUUCUGGCGGGCAUGCCUGUUCGAGCGUCAUUACAACCCUCAGGCCCCCGGGCCUGGCGUUGGGGAUCGGCGGAGCCCUCCGUGGGCACACGCCGUCCCCCAAAUGCAGUGGCGGUCCCGCCGCAGCUUCCAUCGCGUAGUAGCUAACACCUCGCGACUGGAGAGCGGCGCGGCCACGCCGUAAAACACCCAACUCUUCUGAAGUUGACCUCGAAUCAGGUAGGAAUACCCGCUGAACUUAAGCAUAUCAUAAGCGGAGGA